GUAACCACAAAGAAUGAGGUGAUCCUAGCCGGAGCCCCUUCCUAGUUGGCACAGCAUGCUGAGCUCUGGGCACUCAUACAGGCACUCCGAUGGGCAAAGGGUAAAAAGAGGCUGGUGAGUCAACACACGACUGAAGAACGGAAGCACCAACAAGGAUGAUAUGGAUUAUUGUAUUGUGCCAGAUCACCACUGCUUUAAGUUUCUUUGUUUUCAAACUGCAGGUGUUUAGGCCUAGUGAUGAAGUUUGAUGAACAAUAUGUGACUUGUAAAAUGGGAACCAGAAGGCUAUCCAUUUACAAUAUUUGAUGCCUACCCCCAAAAAACAUUAUGGGGGACCUGGGGUAGCUUCUGACUUUGGGGGUAUUCUAAUGAGAAAUUAUAUUGCAAAGAGAAAACACAAGUUUGGAUCAAUGGCUCCCUUGUUGGAUGAGCCACUGGUAAUUGUGUAAACAAGGUCAAUGUAAUCCUAUAUCUAUGUAUAUGCCAGCCCCAUGGGAUCCUAUUUGGCUAAAAGGAGAAAUAUAUUUCAUUAGGACAAGAAAUUAGAAAAGAUCUUGAGGAAAUUCAAGAUGCACUUCAGGCUUUAGAAACCCAACUAGAUUCACUGGCCAAUGUCAUAUUACAGAAUAGGCAUGCUCUCAAUUUGCUAACAGCCCAGAAAGGAAGGACUUGCUUAUUUCUUGGUGAAGAGUGUUAUUAUUACACUAAUAAAUCUGGUAUAGUGUAGUACAAGAAUCACUAGACAAACUGAAAGAUCAGAUCAAGGCUCUUGAUAAGGAAUUUGGUAUAGGAGAGCUAUCCUAUGGGAUUAAUUUUACUUGGGCAGGAUGGAAAACUUGGACAGGACCUCUUCUGAGUCCCCUUCUUGUUAUAAUAUUAAUAUUAAUGUUUGGUCCUUGUGUCAUCCAAUGGAUUUCAAAAUUUAUACAGCAGCUCAUUGAUGCAGCUCAACACUACCAAAUGCUAGUGUUAAGAAAUGUAGAUAAACUGGAUAGAACUUAUAAUGGAUAGAAGAACUAUCCCAAAGUAAACACAGGGACGAAUGAUAGGG
rnacentral:lncRNA from 1 species